UACGUAGGCAGCGAGCGUUGUUCGGAGUUACUGGGCGUAAAGAGUGCGUAGGCGGUUUUCUAAGUUUGGUGUGAAAUCUCCCGGCUCAACUGGGAGGGUGCGCCGAAGACUGGAAGGCUUGAGUAUGGGAGAGGUAAGCGGAAUUCCUGGUGUAGCGGUGAAAUGCGUAGAUAUCAGGAGGAACACCGGUGGCGAAGGCGGCCCUCUGGACGAUGACUGACGCUGAGACGCGAAAGCGUGGGGAGCAAACAGG
rnacentral:rRNA from 1 species